CUAUAACAAAAUACCACAGUCUGGAUGACUUAUAAACAACAGAAAUCUAUUUCUCACAGUUCUAGAUGCUGGAAGUUCAAGAUUAAGGUGCUAGCAUGGUCGAAUUUGAGUGAGAUCCCUU